rnacentral:tRNA from 1 species
AGUAAGGUAAGCUAAUCAAGCUUUUGGGCUCAUGCCCCAACAAUGUUGGUUCAAACCCCUCCCUUGC